rnacentral:rRNA from 1 species
AUUGAACGCUGGCGGCAGGCCUAACACAUGCAAGUCGAGCGAGCGGCGGACGGGUGAGUAAUGCCUGGGAAUUGCCUACUCGAGGGGGCUACCAGUUGGAACCGCCUGCUAAUACCGCAUACUAUUGGAUUGCCCCGGUGGUAUUAGCUAGUUGGUGGGGUAAUGGCUCACCAAGGCGACGAUCCCUAGCUGGUCUGAGAGGAUGAUCAGCCACACUGGAACUGAGACACGGUCCAGACUCCUACGGGAGGCAGCAGUGGGGAAUAUUGCACAAUGGGGGAAAUCCUGAUGCAGCCAUGCCGCGUGUGUGAAGAAGGCCUUCGGGUUGUAAAGCACUUUCAGCGAGGAGGCGGUACUAGCAGAAGAAGCACCGGCUAACUCCGUGCCAGCAGCCGCGGUAAUAC